GCACUUACUAUAUCCUUGUUACGUUGUGUGAUUCAGUGUACGUACUGGUUAAAGUUGGACAAGUGUUAAAGUGAAUUGUUAAGAUAACAUAUUGUUGAUUAAAUCAGGAAUCAAAGGUGACUUCGUUUAACUUGGUGUUCAACAAAAUAAUGUCUACCCCCAAGCUUACAUCAGAAGUGGGAUCAGGACUCUACUCUCACUGGCGUGACGUGUUUGAACAUGUUCGAAGUACAGCAAAAAAAACAUGAUGCAGAUCAGAAUACUAGUAGUGGUACGUCACAAGAGCAUGAAUGCAGCAUACGUAAGUCUUGUAAUAACGUCUCUGUUACCUCGAUGGAAGAUCUGAGCCACGAAGAAAUCGUCACAUCUUACGUUCUGGCUCAUGUUGCCCAGUUUGACUGUCGACUUCAUCACAUGGCAUUUACUAACGGAAAUACAACACGUAACAAGCUAUUGCAAGAAAUUAAGGCAAGUGCAAAUCUCAAGUGAAACUUCGAUCGCAAUAAUGGAUCUGUCACGACGAGUGGGUAGUUCCGACACGAAUCGUUUUUAAGCCAAUGACUACUGCUAGAGUUACAUGGCACUAGUACAGUAAACCAGGACAUGAGACUGUGAAUUGUCGCUGAAAUUUUAGAAUCUACUCGACUUAAUACCAAUAACACUACACGUUCGAUGACUUCGGGCUCCAGCAAGCAAGCAAACAAGAAAGCAAGCAAGUUUCCGUGGGGAAGAAAAAUUGACACAUCUGAAGUCGUCGUGACCUGUAAGAUAAGACGUCCGGUGCGUUCGUGUCUGGCGAUGCGGCGGUGUUCGGGUUCCGCUGGCGGAUGCAGGUUUUUAGGGGGAAGUGCGUGCUUGACAAGUGUUCGCGGUUGGCUUCCUCAGUGUGGGAGUAACAUCGUGUAAGAGAGGUGGAACCCGUAAAAUUGUAGUUUGCGUGGUGGCUGGUAAGAUUUGUUGCGGUAAGAAGUUUGCAUGGUGGUAAAAUGUCUUGUGAGUCUGCACAGGUAGCCGGAGGUGAGACUUCCGCGGUCGCGGCCCACCCAGUCCGCGAGAACCGGGAGAUCGCCUCGACGGUACGGAGGCCGGCUGACGGGUCCGCCAAACGACGAGACCACGCCUCCAGCACGGACUGCCGAUAUUGGAGCCCCCGCGCUCCGGCUGCACUUGCGCUAGGGCGCGCCGCCUCGUAGGAGACUGUGAGCCUGCAAAACCUGAACAACCUCCUCAUCCGUGGGCGCCCGGCUCUCGCCUGCAAGUCGGCUGUUACGUGUGCGGUGAUGCGAGCCAUGUAGCUUCUGGGCGUUCCAUGCGCCACAAGCAGAAAAACGACACUGCUCCAGGUGCUGUGGCAGGUCCAACCAGAGACGUCAACGUGUGUUCCAGAGCUUCGGUGUGUUACAGAUAAGUGGUUUUGGCUCCCCCUUUAUGUUCCAUUCAGGGUCAGAAUGUAGUCUUAUAAAACAAAGCCAUAGUAAUUUAUUCAAUGGUAAGCGGUUUCAUGAACAAGUCACCGUAGUCACCCUAGACACGUCCUUACGGAUCCAUCAGAUCCAAUAACUCUUGCAUUACAUACCUUCAGCUCUAACACUAGGAGCAGGCUGAGGAACCCCAGUAAUCGUACUCGUCGAACUCGAACAAGAGGUCGACGUGCAACCUAACCCAUGCAUCAGCCAACGGCGGAUCCAGGGGGGGGGUCAUGGGGGUCAUGACCCCCCCCUGAGCUAGUUCCAGGACUUGAACUUACUUGGACUAAUUGAAGAACAUCAUGAUCUAUUGUUAUCAAAAUUAAAUUAUAAGUUCUUAACUUGCCCACGACUAUGUGACCCCCUCCUGGCGCCAAUGCUGGAUCCGCCCUUGGCAUCAGCCCACUGAGUUUCUCGCCGGAUCUUCUCAGUGGGUCGCGAUUCCGAUCCGGUAGUAGAUUCAUUCGCGAAGCAAUUGCUCUUGAGUUGUUAGGUCUCCUGCGGAGGCGCUCGGGCAGUUGUUAGCAAAUCCCACCCCUCUUGGCUGAGCCUUUGCUCACCCACCUGUCCUGGUGAAGCUGGAAAGGCCACCGGGCCAUGCAGUUUUGGAAAACGAUAGGUAUAAGUUGAGACAUGUAAAUGGUUCUAGUGUACAAAUUUCCCCAUGAAAACUUACGCGAAAUUACCUCGAGGCCCGUCCGGCCUACUAGAAAUUUCUGAAAAUUAUAGUGACGAUGACGUGACGGCGUACACAGAUGGGUUAAGUAAUCUUGUUCAUGAAACUGAUCUUAGUGAUGACGACUCUAUCACUGACAAUAGAAGCGACAUUUUUGUCCGCAAAUAGCGAUACAGCAAACAUAGUCUGUGGGUAGUGAUACAAUGUCUGUAAGCUCAGGCACCUCAGGUGCAGGUGUUGGAAAUGUAGAAAACGAUGGUCGGUCUCGCACUAUUUCUGAAGAAAUUCCGUAUAAAUGUUCUGGUUUAAGAAAUGUUUUAACAAACGCUACCGUACACGCAGAUUAAAAAAAAAAAAAAGAGAAUUGUAUGUGGCUAGAGAGAUGUUAAUCCGGACUAGCAAAAAAAAAAAAAAGAGAAAAAAAAAAAAAAAAAGUGUGAAGUCAUUGAAGGAUCUGUCCGGUCCAAUGGCUUGGCUAUAGGGAUUUUCAUCCAGAUUAGCCACAACAAUUAGCUACAGGGAUUGCGAUUCGGUCUAGCAUUAUCCGGUCCAGUUCGAAAAACUGAAGGGAUAACAAUUCCGGUCUAAGUUAAAAGGGACAUACUUACAUACCUGAAGAGUUUUAAAUGAACUGGCCCAGGUAUGUAAGCAGUCUGAAGGUUAUUUAUAGCCAGUAUAGGAUUUUCUGAAGAAUUAUGCGAACCGAACCGUACUAGAUUGUUAAUAUCAUAGACCACGUUUUAAGUUGCAUCCGUUAAUGUCAGGAUGAACGAACAUGUUUGUUGUUCACAGACAUACCAUAAGAAUGCGCGCACGAGGACGAGCGCACGUCAGUAUGGCCGUGACGGCGUUAACGAUAUUUAUGUUAUAUAGCACGUGCAAUAGGAGUGACUCACACAAGCCAGGCGCGCCGGCCGUGUCGUUCCACUCGUAAACAACAGCUGCAACAGAAGUGACUCAUAAGCCAGCUGCGCCGGCUAGUAUAAAAAGGCGGAACGUGCCUUGAAAUGAACAUUCGUUGGACUGCGUUUGCCUGGUGCACUUACUAUAUCCUUGUUACGUUGUGUGAUUCAGUGUACGUACUGGUUAAAGGACAAGUGUUAAAGUGAAUUGUUGAGAUAACAUAUUGUUGAUUAAAUCAGGAAUCAAAGGUGACUUCGUUUAACUUGGUGUUCAACAAAAUAAUGUCUACCCCCAAGCUUACAUAUAUAUAUUUAAAUAUAUUGAAAUAUAAUAGAAUAUCUGUUUGAGUAUCAAUGCAUGAUUAUAAUAAUGAUAUCACUGCCUUAUUGGUAAAAAUAAUGGGAAUUGCGAUUUACCCAAAUAAAUUUAUCCAAAUAAAGAAA